CUUUGCUGGCCCCCGUUGUUCUGACUGUCUAUAAUCUUCUUCUGUGUCUGCAUAUUUUCUCUGUGCACAUUACCAUCAGACUAAAAACAGGAACUAUGAAAACAUGGACCAACAGAACUUUGACUUCAGGAGAACACCUAAGGCGGAGAAGGUCCUUCUGUUCAGCCAGGACACCAACCUGACAGCCCUGCUGCUAGAGGCCAAAGACCUGGAGGCCCGAGUCAUCAUCCUCUCUGCCAGUGAGGAUGAAGCUGCAGACGUGUACAAAGCCGCCCGUCAGCUCAACAUGACGGGCUCGGGGUAUGUCUGGCUGGUUGGUGAGCGCGAGAUGACGGGCAAAGCUCUGAACGAAGCUCCAGAUGGCCUGCUGGGCCUCCAGCUGAUUAACGGUAAGAAUGAAUCGGCCCACAUCGCCGAUGCCGUUGGGGUGGUGGCCCAGUCGCUGCAGGAGCUGUUUGAGAAGGAGAACAUCACUGAACCGCCACGAGGCUGCGUCGGAAACACCAACAUCUGGAGAACCGGGCCGCUGUUCAAACGGGUGCUGAUGUCAUCAAAGUACCCCGACGGCCUGACAGGAAGGAUCGAGUUUAACGACGACGGCGACCGGCGCUUUGCCACCUACAGCAUCCUGAACUACCAGCAGAAGCCGGGGCGCCUCGUCCAGGUCGGAGUCUUCAACGGGUCCCAGGUGGUGAUGAAUCCUCAGAGGAAGAUCAUCUGGCCCGGAGGGGAGACGGAGAAACCAGUGGGAUACCAGAUGUCGACAAAGCUGAAGAUUGUGACGAUCCACCAGGAACCAUUCGUCUACGUGAAGCCAACAAAGAGCGACGGGACGUGUAAAGAGGAGUACACGGUCAACGGCGUUCUGAUCAAGAAGGUGAUCUGUACUGGGCCCAACGGAACCAUCCCAGGCCAGCCCAUCGUCCCUCAGUGUUGCUAUGGUUUCUGCAUCGACCUGCUCAUCAAACUGGCCAUGAGCAUGAACUUCACGUAUGAGGUCCACCUGGUGGCUGAUGGGAAAUUUGGCACACAGGAGCGAGUGAACAACAGUAAUAAGAAGGAGUGGAAUGGGAUGAUGGGGGAGCUUCUUGGUGGUCUGGCUGAUAUGAUCGUUGCUCCCCUCACUAUCAACAAUGAGCGUGCUCAGUACAUUGAGUUCUCCAAACCGUUUAAAUACCAGGGGCUCACCAUCCUCGUCAAGAAGGAAAUCCCUCGAAGUACCCUGGACUCGUUCAUGCAACCGUUUCAGAGUACACUGUGGCUGUUGGUCGGCCUGUCGGUCCACGUGGUGGCAGUGAUGCUUUACCUAUUAGACCGGUUCAGCCCAUUCGGAAGGUUCAAAGUGAACAGCGAAGAAGAAGAAGAAGACGCCCUCACCCUGUCCUCCGCCAUGUGGUUCUCAUGGGGAGUACUGCUGAACUCUGGGAUCGGAGAAGGAGCUCCCAGGAGUUUCUCAGCGAGGAUUCUGGGUAUGGUGUGGGCGGGCUUUGCCAUGAUCAUCGUAGCUUCAUACACCGCCAACCUGGCCGCCUUCCUGGUGCUGGACCGGCCUGAGGAGCGCAUCACUGGCAUCAACGACCCCAGGCUGCGUAACCCGUCUGAUAAGUUCAUCUACGCCACGGUGAAGCAGAGUUCGGUGGAUAUCUACUUCCGCCGGCAGGUGGAGCUGAGUACCAUGUACCGACACAUGGAGAAGCACAACUACGAGAGCGCCGCCGAGGCCAUCCAGGCUGUCAGAGACAAUAAACUCCACGCCUUCAUCUGGGACAGCGCCGUGCUGGAGUUCGAAGCGUCACAGAAAUGCGACCUGGUGACGACGGGGGAGCUGUUCUUCCGAUCGGGAUUCGGGAUCGGAAUGAGGAAGGACAGUCCGUGGAAACAGAACGUGUCACUGGCCAUUCUGAGUUCUCAUGAAAAUGGCUUCAUGGAGGACCUGGACAAGACGUGGGUGCGAUAUCAGGAGUGUGACUCGAGGAGCAACGCCCCCGCCACGCUCACCUUCGAGAACAUGGCCGGUGUAUUCAUGCUCGUCGCUGGCGGCAUCGUCGCUGGGAUCUUCCUCAUCUUCAUUGAGAUCGCCUACAAACGACACAAAGACGCUCGCAGGAAACAGAUGCAGCUCGCCUUUGCCGCCGUCAAUGUCUGGAGGAAGAACCUGCAGCCAUACCCGACUGACAUCACCGGACAGCUCAACCUAUCAGAUCCCUCCGUCAGCACCGUCGUCUAGGAAACGACGCGACGAGCACCACUGCUGCUGCUGAGCCACAGACACGCAACGGACACGCAACAGACACACAACACACACACACAGACACACAAUAAUAAACAGUAACACACACACAGACACACAACGACAAACACAGUUACACAAACACACACCAUCUGUCACCGCACACCUCCACACACAGACACACACAUACCUUCCUGUGCUUGUAGCUCCGCCUCCAGAGGGUCUUUGAUUGACACACAGUGAACUUUUAUUUUUGGUCGGUGUCUGUGAUGUCACACUUCCGUUUCCAUGGCGCCAAUCAAUCGACCAAUCACACGGACCGAUCAAAGCUCCCCCGCGGCGGACGCCCAUCCACUGA